AGCUUUGCGCAGUGGCAGUAUCAUAGCUAAUGAGGUUUAUCUGAGGCAUGAUUAUUGCUAAUUCUCUGAAAUGGAUAAUGUCAGCCAUCAUAACGUGGGGCAUGAGGUGAAAUAAUGGCUUCUUAGCA